GUCUUAUGCCAUACCACCCUCAACCUGCCUGAUCUCAGAAGCUAAGCAGGGUCAGACCUGGUUAGUACUUGGAUAGGAGAAAUAAGAUAUAAAAGAAA
rnacentral:rRNA from 1 species